UACGAAGGGGGCUAGCGUUGCUCGAAUUGACUGGGCGUAAAGGGCGCGUAGGCGGUUCGUACAGUCAGACGUGAAAUUCCUGGGCUCAACCUGGGGGCUGCGUUUGAUACGUGCGGACUUGAGUGCGGAAGAGGGUCGUGGAAUUCCCAGUGUAGAGGUGAAAUUCGUAGAUAUUGGGAAGAACACCGGUGGCGAAGGCGGGUCUCUGGGCCGAUACUGACGCUGAGGAGCGAAAGCGUGGGGAGCAAACAGG
rnacentral:rRNA from 1 species